UGGGCGAGUGGUGGAAUGGCAGACACGAAGGACUUAAAAUCCUUUGACCCUAAAAGGUUGUGUGGGUUCGACUCCCACCUCGCCCAU
rnacentral:tRNA from 2 species